GUGUUGUGUUCGAGUCACCUCCAGUCAGACCGUAUCAUAUGGUCUAGGUUGACUGGUAUAGUUUUAUUGCAUCUGUAUACUAUAUGUAUACAGUUGGCGUUGAGGAGGUGUCUCAAAUAGAGCUAAAGAGGGAUAGAGAGAGGAAGAGAUAUGCAAACCUGUUAGACUUGGCAAGAGAAAAGAAGAUAUUAAAAAAUAAUGAGGGUCGGAGAUGCAAGAACAUGUCUAACCAAGCCUUGGCUUCUCAAGCUCCAGUGUUUGGGUCCGCGCAGUCUGUCGUAACAGAAGUAUUAACACGUUCUAAAACAAGAGGGGUUAUCAAUGGGAUGAAUAGUGGUUCAAACAAUGUAGAGCAAGUGGACCAUGGAAUUUGGGAAUCAGAAGA